rnacentral:rRNA from 1 species
UACGUAGGGGGCAAGCGUUGUCCGGAUUUAUUGGGCGUAAAGAGCUCGUAGGUGGUUCGGUAAGUCGGAUGUGAAAUCUCCAGGCUCAACCUGGAGGGGUCAUUCGAUACUGCCGUGACUAGAGUUCGGUAGGGGAGUGUGGGAAUUCCUGGUGGAGCGGUGAAAUGACGUUGAUAUCCUAAGGAACACCGGAUGGCGAAAGCGGCUACACUGGAUCUUAUCUGACGCUGAGGCACGAAAGCCAGGGUGAGCAAACGGGG